rnacentral:lncRNA from 1 species
CUGUACCAGUAAUAGGUUGUUGCAGAACUUUUUUCACACUCUGGCUCCACAAACGUAUGGGAUGCAUUUUUAACUAGAGGACACUGGUCCCAUGGUAAUGGAUGCUGAAAAGACUGGGAAAAGUAAAACAGACUCCAUCCAAUAAUGACAUUGUAGUACAGGGCCACAAAGAAACAUACUAUACAGCUUGCAAACCCAAUUCCUCCAAGUUUAGGGCUGAUAUAAUUCCAUACACCGAUACUCCCUCGGCGGAUUCUCUGCCCCACAGAAAGCUCCAAGAAAAAGAGUGGAAUACCUAUGACCAGUAGCAAGAUUAAGUAUGGCACAAGAUAGGCACCUACAAAAGGAAAAACAUAGAAGUCAGAGUAAGUGAAGAGUCACAGUCUGACAUAACUCAUAUGAGUCC